rnacentral:snoRNA from 1 species
UACAAUGAUGAAUAAGAGCUUUGCUCGAAACAAACCCAGCUCUUCGAGUGUCCUCAAUAUAUAAACUCACGAAGAGGGCACCUUGAGAACAAAAGUUAUAAACUGAAAU